rnacentral:rRNA from 1 species
GACGAACGCUGGCGGCGUGCUUAACACAUGCGAGUCGAACGGAAAGGCCCUGCUUUUGUGGGGUGCUCGAGUGGCGAACGGGUGAGUAACACGUGAGUAACCUGCCCUUGACUUUGGGAUAACUUCAGGAAACUGGGGCUAAUACCGGAUAGGAGCUCCUGCUGCAUGGUGGGGGUUGGAAAGUUUCGGCGGUUGGGGAUGGACUCGCGGCUUAUCAGCUUGUUGGUGGGGUAGUGGCUUACCAAGGCUUUGACGGGUAGCCGGCCUGAGAGGGUGACCGGCCACAUUGGGACUGAGAUACGGCCCAGACUCCUACGGGAGGCAGCAGUGGGGAAUAUUGCACAAUGGGCGGAAGCCUGAUGCAGCAACGCCGCGUGCGGGAUGACGGCCUUCGGGUUGUAAACCGCUUUCGCCUGUGACGAAGCGUGAGUGACGGUAAUGGGUAAAGAAGCACCGGCUAACUACGUGCCAGCAGCCGCGGUGAUACGUAGGGUGCGAGCGUUGUCCGGAUUUAUUGGGCGUAAAGGGCUCGUAGGUGGUUGAUCGCGUCGGAAGUGUAAUCUUGGGGCUUAACCCUGAGCGUGCUUUCGAUACGGGUUGACUUGAGGAAGGUAGGGGAGAAUGGAAUUCCUGGUGGAGCGGUGGAAUGCGCAGAUAUCAGGAGGAACACCAGUGGCGAAGGCGGUUCUCUGGGCCUUUCCUGACGCUGAGGAGCGAAAGCGUGGGGAGCGAACAGGCUUAGAUACCCUGGUAGUCCACGCUGUAAACGGUGGGUACUAGGUGUGGGGUCCACUCCACGGGUUCCGUGCCGUAGCUAACGCUUUAAGUACCCCGCCUGGGGAGUACGGCCGCAAGGCUAAAACUCAAAGGAAUUGACGGGGCCCCGCACAAGCGGCGGAGCAUGCGGAUUAAUUCGAUGCAACGCGUAGAACCUUACCUGGGUUUGACAUGGAUCGGGAGUGCUCAGAGAUGGGUGUGCCUCUUUUGGGGUCGGUUCACAGGUGGUGCAUGGCUGUCGUCAGCUCGUGUCGUGAGAUGUUGGGUUAAGUCCCGCAACGAGCGCAACCCUUGUUCACUGUUGCCAGCACGUUAUGGUGGGGACUCAGUGGAGACCGCCGGGGUCAACUCGGAGGAAGGUGGGGAUGACGUCAAGUCAUCAUGCCCCUUAUGUCCAGGGCUUCACGCAUGCUACAAUGGCUGGUACAGAGAGUGGCGAGCCUGUGAGGGUGAGCGAAUCUCGGAAAGCCGGUCUCAGUUCGGAUUGGGGUCUGCAACUCGACCUCAUGAAGUCGGAGUCGCUAGUAAUCGUAGAUCAGCAACGCUGCGGUGAAUACAAUCCCGGGGCU